CCUUACCAGGCCUUGACAUCCAAUGAACUUUCCAGAGAUGGAUUGGUGCCUUCGGGAACAUUGAGACAGGUGCUGCAUGGCUGUCGUCAGCUCGUGUCGUGAGAUGUUGGGUUAAGUCCCGCAACGAGCGCAACCCUUGUCCCUAGUUGCUACGCAAGAGCACUCUAGGGAGACUGCCGGUGACAAACCGGAGGAAGGUGGGGAUGACGUCAAGUCCUCAUGGCCCUUAUGGGUAGGGCUUCACACGUCAUACAAUGGUCGGAACAGAGGGUCGCCAACCCGCGAGGGGGAGCCAAUCCCAGAAAACCGAUCGUAGUCCGGAUCGCACUCUGCAACUCGAGUGCGUGAAGCUGGAAUCGCUAGUAAUCGCGGAUCAGCAUGCCGCGGUGAAUACGUUCCC
rnacentral:rRNA from 1 species